AGGCACAUGCACGGGUGCUUCCCCCGCACCCCGCGAGGCCAGCGGGCGGGCGGGCGCCGGCAACCUGAGGAUUAAAUCCAAACAAACGCGUCGGGUCGGGAAGAGAAAGCGGCCAGGGCCGCAAGGCAACGGCCAGGGCUCACACUCUCUUCACUUUUCUCUCACCCCCUUGCCCGAACCCGGGGUCGCAGAGCACCAAGAGGAGUCUCACCUCUCUUCCGGACUGUCGCUGCCGAGGCGGCCUUUCGCGGUAAUAGCUGCUCACUAGGGACCGCCGCUGCCCCGCCCCCCUUUCCUAGUUGGCGCCAAACGGAAUCCACCAAUCAGUAAGCAACUUCGCCUCCUCGCUCCCGAAAGGCAGCUACGCUGGACCAAUGAGAGGGGAAGAAGGAAGCAGCUCGCGGGGCUCUGAGGGGUCAUCCGCUUUCUGAAAGGGGCGGGGCCGAGAGGAGGCCAGAGCAGAUCCGAAUGGAUAGGGGCUCAGAGGUCAAUGAAAACUCCCAGCAGAACCUGGGAGGCGAGGGUAGAGACCGAGACGCCUCUCUUGCCGCGUUGCAUGCUGGGGAGCGUAGUUCCCAACCCGCACCGUGGCCCGGGAACCUCCUACCCGCGGAGGGCCACGACUGCGUAGCCACCCCCUUCCCUGAGGUCCACACGCGGAGGGGACGCGCAGGCUGGAGAGAGCUGUCCUGCCCACUCGGGGUCCAGCCGUGGCUCGACCUAUAACCGUGCGCAACAGAAAGGAGAGGACUAUCAUACUAUGGAUGAAAUCACAAGCCAUGUUGAACAUAAACUAUAUGCAGAAGAGGACAUGCUGUUUGAUUCUACUGACAUAAAAUUUUGAACCCGGUAGGAUCUUGAAAACAUGACAAAUGAAGUUGGCAACAUGUACACAAUUCCUCUCAAAACCUGCUCGAUCCCUUAUUUCCCUAACCACCCCCUUCCCCCAGCCUCUUCCUCCGGCAGGUGUGUGGUUUUGAAGGCUUUAGCCUGCUGUAGCCUCCUUUGUCUGGCAAAGCAAUAAAGCUAUUUUUCU